GACAGAGGUGCCGAGCGUUAGGCGGAAUCACUGGGCUUAAAGCGUGUGUAGGCGGGUCGUUAAGUGUCUUGUGAAAUCCCACCGCUCAACGGUGGAACUGCUGGGCAUACUGGCGAUCUUGAGCCACCUAGGGGCAGACGGAACAAGCGGUGGAGCGGUGAAAUGCGUAGAGAUUAGGAAGAAUACCAGUGGCGAAGGCGACUUUCUGGACUGUAACUGACACUGAGGCUCGAAAGCAUGGGGAGCAAACAGG
rnacentral:rRNA from 1 species